CUGCAAUUUGGCAGCACAUACACUGAAAUUAGAAUGAUUCAAAGAAGAUUAGCAUCUUCUCUGUGCAAGGAUGACACACACACAAAUUCAUGAAUCAUUCCAUAUUUUA